GGAGGAACAGUUCAACAGCACCUACCGCAUCGUCAGCGUCCUCCCGAUCCUGCACCAGGACUGGCUGAACGGCAAGCAGUUCAAGUGCAAGGUCAACAGCAAGGCCCUCCCAGCCCCCAUCGAGAGGACCAUCACAAAGGCCAAAGGGCCGAUCCGGGAGCCGCAUGUAUACGUCCUGAACCCACACCCAGAUGAGCUGGCCAAGAACGUGGUCAGCGUGACCUGCCUGGUCAAAGGCUUCUACCCGUCUGACAUCAACGUGGAGUGGGAGAGCAACGAGCAGCCAGAGCCCGAGGCCAAGUACCAAACGACCCCGGCCCAGCUGGAUGCCGACGGGUCCUUCUUCCUGUACAGCAAGCUCACCGUGGAGAAGAGCAGGUGGCAGCGAGGACAGGACUUCACGUGUACGGUGAUGCACGAGGCUCUGCACAAUCACUACACCCAGAAAUCCAGCUCCCACACUCCGGGUAAAUGAGCGACGCGCCCGGCACCCCAGCGAGGCCUCCCCCUUCCUGUGUACAUACCCCCCGGGCACCCGGCAUGAAAUAAAGCACCCAGCACUGCCCUGGGACCCCGCGA